UGAUGAAAAUUCUCCGGAAUCGCUGGACACCAUUGAUGAUAUAUUAGAACCCCUAUCAGCUGAUGGUUGUGGCUUUUUAUC